rnacentral:lncRNA from 1 species
GAAUGUAAAUUAUUAGAUAUCCUUAAUAAUAGUUAAAGACCAUAUAAAUUAACAUGCUUCAAGUUUCAAAAUGAUAUUAAAAUGCAUAUAGUUAUUACAAUUAAGUUUGAAUCAUCUCUAACACCAACAAUAACUAUGCGCUCUGUUAGCGCAGGAAUCAAACACAUCACUAACUUAUCCAGAUUCCCUAUUGAUGCUGAUUGAGAACUCGAAGGUGGUAUUGAUGAUGAAGCAUCUGAUCCAGAAGAGCCACAAAGAUUCGGCUCAUAGUAGCAUUUUGCUUGAGAUCCAAGACCAUAUAAUCUUCUCUUCUUUUCCCCUCCCGCGGCUUCAUAAUAUGCUUUACAUUGAUGUUUCUAUGCAGUAACAAAAUUUAGAAUUUUUUAUAGCUAAUAAAUGAUGGAAAACAACAAUUUAAACUCUAAAAUAAGUAACAGUGGCAACAGUCAGCAGUAGUAGUAAUUAGUUUUCUUCCUUUGCAUCUAAAUAACAUUGGCAGCAGUUAUAGUCUAUACUCUAAAAUGACAGUCAAGUUAGAUUAACAAUUCAUUCUUUCCCUUCAAAGAGUGGUUUCUUUGGAAACGACAUUGAAGAUUUUUGGAACAUGGGGAUGACUAUUGUAUUAGCAACAACAGAAUAAAGCUUAAUAAAAUUCUACCUAAGGAACAUGAGAAAGAAGCACAAAGGGAACAUGUAGUAGUACAUAAUAUAUAAUAGCAAUCAGUUAUUAGAAUAAUCAGAAAGAUAACUAGUGAUAAGGUAGUAUGGGCAGAGUGAUAGAUCUAAAACUUCUUCUUAGUUUUUCCACAGAUAUUUACAAGUGAAAGCUCCUAUAUUCUCUGGUAUUCAAUAAGGAAUAUCGUCUUUCUCCAGAGGUCAAAUAAAUUACUACAUCUUGUUCAAGUUUAAAAUACUAAUAUUUUUUAACAGGUAGUAGUACUUAACCAAACACCACCCAGCCCUCUUUUUUUAAAGUGAAAAAAUCACAUAUACUUAAUUGCAAGAUACUUUGAAAUAAUUAAUCAAUCAACCUUGUCCACCAGGUUUUUUCCUCUAAUAAGUUAUUGGCAAACACAAACUAGAAUUCAGCUAAAAGAAACCCAAUCAAAGCAAAGUAGUAAAUACAUUAGCAUAAUAUAUUCUCCUUUUAUGUGGAUGAAGAAAAAUAAAGAUGUGUACUACUAAAGAUUCCAAACAUUUCAAUCAAUGCUGCUAACUUGAAAGGAAAUACGGUAAAUAUAUUUUUAAGGACAUACAAAAUAAGAUAAAUUUACUUGGUCCUUGUAGGAAACGGAAACCAAUUAGACAUGAAAGGUCCAACGGAAUGAGCACCAUAACAAUAUUGUAAAUAAACAUGAAGGUAGGUGCAGAGAAACAUCAGCUGAGCGUCACAUUCUUCAAUAAUAGAUUGAUUGGCUACUCACCUGGAACUGGUCGCACAGAGAGAGCUCUAGAUACAUAUAGAGAAACAUAUACACAUAGAGAGAGGGGAGAGAUAGAAGUAGAGGGAGUUUACCUAAACUUGAUUUAACUACUCGUACAAGCGACAACGAUGUUAAUUAAGAAGAAAUAGAGCUUCACAUAUCAUCACAAGUGGUGAAAGCACCCUAUGAAACACAAAAACAUAAAUUAAAUUUCUAAUACAAAAUUUAUCAAAAGUUGUGCGAAGAAAUUUUUUGUAGAUCUGGACAAAAAAUUAAGAAGACAAGCAAGAGAAGAUUAAUUAGGCCACCAAAAGAAUCUGUUAGUUUCAUAUAUUAAACAAAACAUCUAUUAGACAAAUAUACUUGAUAAUAUACACAAAUUGGUGGCUUACCUAUUUUGGUAACCAAAAUUAGUACUAAGCAUAAGAAAGAGAAGAAGAAACAAAGCCAUCUACAAACCUUAGAUUCAUGUUGGCUACUAAUUUUUGCUCUUGUUCUUGAAAUUCCUUACCCAGUUUAUCUCCCAAUUGAUUUUUCUCUCCCUAUGAAAAAAAAAUACAAAUUAAAUUUCUAAUACAAAAUUUGUCUAAAGCUAUGUGAAGAAAUUUUUUGUAGAUCUGGACAAAAAAUUAAGAAGAUAAGCAGAAGAAGAUUAAUUAAACUACCAAAGGAAUCUACCAAAAAAUUCUUGAAACUUUUACAAUCUAAGAAGAUGACGGUCUAUAGAGCCAUUUUCAUGUCAAAAUUGACACAGAAAUCGGAUUGUUAUAAGCUUUCAUGAUAUAAAGAAACAAUCAAAAGGAUAAAACCACAUCAGAUGACAAAAAUCUAUCCAACAAAAAAAUCGAAAACAUAAUAUUUGCUAAGCUACAAUACUCCAAUAAUUAUAAUAUAAAAUUCCAACAAAAUACCAGUGUUCACUUGAAGUUUUGAUUUUAUCACAUCUAAAGUCAAGAAUAACCCAAAAUCUAAUUCUUAUAAAGUUUCGUAAAGUAACAAUCAAAGACAUGAAAUCGAUUCAACAAAAAGUCCCAAAAUACAAAUUUUGCUAAGCUAUAUAAAUAAAUCUCCCAAAAAGAUACCAGUUUCAAAUAAAUCUGAUUUUUAUCACAAAUGAUAACAAAAAAUUAGUGUUAAGCUUAUUGAAGAAGAAACAAAACCAUCUAUAAACCUUAGAUUCAUAUUGGCUAAUGAUUUUUGCUCUUGUUCUUGAAAACCCUCAUCGUGUGUCUUCUACUGAUUUUGCUCUCAGGCGCCUAAUUUUGCUCUCUCAUGUGUUUCUGCUGCUUUAGAAGAGACUGAUGUUUUACCAAAUUUGUUCGCUAGGGAAAAUAAUAAAGUUGUCUUCAGCGACAGAUUUAGCUACGGAUAGGGUUCCGUCGCUAACAAUAAUA